GGCCCGGGAGGGCUCCGGGUGGCGGCGCUGGACAGCGACCCCGAAACGAACCUGGUCCUUAUGGGACGGGCCUGGAGCCUCUUGAAUUUGUGGGCACCACUGGUCGGCAGGGUCUAUGGAAAACAGGCCUGGGAUCCAAGGAAGCUGGGCUUGGAGAUGCACACCGUAAGCCCAGGACUUGGAAGGCUGGGGCAAGACGAUCACUAGAGCCCAGGAGUUUGAGGCCAGUCUGGACAACACAGUAACUCCCCAUCUCAAAAAGAAAAAUGAGGAAAUUGAGGCACAGAGAGGUUAAGUUGACCAAACUCUAGCGCCAGGAAAGAACAGAGCAGACAAAUCUGUUCUCAGUCCACGAGAUUUUAUGGAUGAAGAGGAUGAAGAUGAUGACUACUUGCCCACUAAUGUGACCUUUGCAUCCAAAGACGUCAGCCCUGUGGAUUUUACACUGAAGAAUAAUUAAUGUACAGGAUUGGGUUACAAGGGCCUGGAUCCCCACCAAGUACGGAUUGGAACUUCAAUAGAACAUUUGAAUCUUUUCAGUGGAGGAUCUGAGGGAGCCAGCAAUCUUCCUGGAGAAGUUGGACUAAAUAAAGGAAGACAAUUGGGAGUUUCAGGCUAGGUAAAAGUGUUUCUGCAUAUAAAGGUGGAACCACUGACAAGUGAAUAUAUUUUCUGUGUUUUAUCUGCACCACUCAUUCUUUGUUGAGUGAAUGAAGACUUUGAAGUGGUUAGGUUUUCCCAGCAUGUUUUCUGGAAGAUUUGUGAAGCACCUUCCUGAUUUUAAUAUAGGGUUCCUGAAAGCCUGGGCCCAUCUUCUUGGGGUUAUGUGUUGCCGAGAGUAAGGAUUGGUUUCUUACUUUUUUUUUUUGGUACUAGGGAUCAAACUCAGGACCUUGUGCUUGCAAAGCAGGCGGCGGAACCACUGAGCUAAAUCCCCAGCCCCUUGAUGGAAUGUUUCUUAACUGAGUGAAUCUAUCUUCAUUUUACCUAAUUUCCAUGAUUGACUUUUAUUUUUCUUUUUUCAUGAUCAGUAGGGAUAUAAUAAAUAUUCUUUUUAUUAGUACAUAUUGUUAUACAAAAUGGAUUGCAUUUUGAUAUAUUAGUACAUGCAUAUCAUACUUUGAUUGUUCCCCCAUUACCCCCUUUCCUUUCUCUCCCCCUCCCCAGUCCCUUUCCUCUUCUCUAAUAGUUUCCCUUAUAAUGAAUAUUCUUAUAUCUGUAUCUUUAUGCAUAUUUAUUCCUUUAAAAUUUUUCAGAGUAAAUUUAUGAAAGAAAAAUUUUUGAGUUUUAAAGGAAUACAAAUUUCCAAGAAUGUGAUCUUGAAUCCCAAAUUAUCCUACAGAAAUUAGGAACUUUAUAAACUAGUAGAAAAGUUCAACUGAGUUGAAGGGGAAACAGGUUUUAUGGGGAAGGUGGUCACUCAAUGGUGCUGCAUUAAUGAGGCAGGAGAUUAGGGCAUGGCAGACUGGCUGGGGAAGUGGAUGUGACCUGUUAAUUAUAAAGUUCCAGGACACAGGGGCAGAACAGUUUCCAAAGCCCUGCACAUGGACUUCUCAUGAGAAUUCGAGGUUUGGAUAGGAUGGCCUAGACCUCCCUGAGAAGAGGGAGAUGCAAAAAGAUGGUUGCUGUUGAGCCCAGGGCUACAGCAGUCCAUUCUCAUGUUGUAGAGUGUACCUUUUCCCCUACUUUUUCUUGGCCCAAACUCACUCUGCAGAGCAUGUUUCUUUCCCUACCUUUAAUAAAUAUAAAACCUUGCUACCGUUUGUGUUUGUUCUGUCCAAUUCUUUGUUCAGAACAGAAAGAACCUAGAGACCACCUCUAGGAGGAGACUCCAGCACCCCAGAACCUGGCAACAUUAUCUGGGCAAGACUUUGGCUCCUCUUCACUGUGAGCUGGGCCUGCAUCAGGACUGAGCCAGAGCUUGUGUAGGUGCUUGUCCUAUAGAAGGAGCUUUUGGUAUAGAAAAUAUAGUUCAUGUGCUUAGACUUUGCUAC
ensembl:lncRNA